GACGAACUUCGCCCACGCCCCCCACCAAGGCUAUAGCCCACCCGUUUUUUGGCCAUUUUUCCGCUGGGGGGUCUUGGGACCCCGACCUUCGGGGGCUGGUUUUUGGGCGCGUCUGUGCCCGUGGCCUAUUUUUGGCACACGGAGGCCGCCCGCCAAGUCUGGUGCCAUUCCGAGUCCCGCGGACGAACUUCGCCCACGCCCCCCACCAAGGCUAUAGCCCACCCGUUUUUUGGCCAUUUUUCCGCUGGGGGGUCUUGGGACCCCGACCUUCGGGGGCUGUUUUUUGGGCGCGGCUGUGCCCGUGGCCUAUUUUUGGCACACGGAGGCCGCCCGCCAAGUCUGGUGCCAUUCCGAGUCCCGCGGACGAACUUCGCCCACGCCCCCCACCAAGGCUAUAGCCCACCCGUUUUUUGGCCAUUUUUCCGCUGGGGGGUCUUCGGACCCCGACCUUCGGGGGCUGGUUUUUGGGCGCGGCUGUGCCCGUGGCCUAUUUUUGGCACACGGAGGCCGCCCGCCAAGUCUGGUGCCAUUCCGAGUCCCGUGGACGAACUUCGCCCACGGCCCCCACCAAGGCUAUAGCCAACCCGUUUUUUGGCCAUUUUUCCGCUGGGGGGUCUUGGGACCCCGACCUUGGGGGGCUGUUUUUUGGGCGCGGCUGUGCCCGUGGCCUAUUUUUGGCACACGGAGGCCGCCCGCCAAGUCUGGUGCCAUUCCGAGUCCCGCGGACGAACUUCGCCCACGCCCCCCACCAAGGCUAUAGCCCACCCGUUUUUUGGCCAUUUUUCCGCUGGGGGGUCUUGGGACCCCGACCUUCGGGGGCUGUUUUUUGGGCGCGGCUGUGCCCGUGGCCUAUUUUUGGCACACGGAGGCCGCCCACCAAGUCUGGUGCCAUUCCGAGUCCCGCGGACGAACUUCGCCCACGCCCCCCACCAAGGCUAUAGCCCACCUAUUUUUUGGCCAUUUUUCCGCUGGGGGGUCUUGGGACCCCGACCUUCGGGGGCUGUUUUUUGGGCGCGGCAGUGCUCGUGGCCUAUUUUUGGCACACGGAGGCCGCCCUCCAAGUCUGCUGCCAUUCCGAGUCCCGCGGACGAACUUCGCCCACGCCCCCCACCAAGGCUAUAGCCCACCUAUUUUUUGGCCAUUUUUCCGCUGGGGGGUCUUGGGACCCCGAACUUCGAGGGCUGUUUUUUGGGUGCGGCUGUGCCCGUGGCCUAUUUUUGGCACACGGAGGCCGCCCGCCAAGUCUGGUGCCAUUCCGAGUCCCGCGGACGAACUUCGCCCACGCCCCCCACCAAGGCUAUAGCCCACCCGUUUUUUGGCCAUUUUUCCGCUGGGGGGUCUUGGGACCCCGACCUUCGGGGGCUGUUUUUUGGGCGCGGCUGUGCCCGUGGCCUAUUUUUGGCACACGGAGGCCGCCCGCCAAGUCUGGUGCCAUUCCGAGUCCCGCGGACGAACUUCGCCCACGCCCCCCACCAAGGCUAUAGCCCACCCGUUUUUUGGCCAUUUUUCCGCUGGCGGGUCUUGGGACCCCGGCCUUCGGGGGCUGUUUUUUGGGCGCGGCAGUGCCCGUGGCCUAUUUUUGGCACACGGAGGCCGCCCGCCAAGUCUGGUGCCAUUCCGAGUCCCGCGGACGAACUUCGCCCACGGCCCCCACCAAGGCUAUAGGCCACCCGUUUUUUGGCCAAUUUUCCGCUGGGGGGUCUUGGGACCCCGACCUUCGGGGGCUGUUUUUUGGGCGCGGCUGUGCCCGUGGCCUAUUUUUGGCACACGGAGGCCGCCCGCCAAGUCUGGUGCCAUUCCGAGUCCCGCGGACGAACUUCGCCCACGCCCCCCACCAAGGCUAUAGCCCACCCGUUUUUUGGUCAUUUUUCCGCUGGGGGGUCUUGGGACCCCGACCUUCGGGGGCUGUUUUUUGGGCGCGGCUGUGCCCGUGGCCUAUUUUUGGCACACGGAGGCCGCCCGCCAAGUCUGGUGCCAUUCCGAGUCCCGCGGACAAACUUCGCCCACGACCCCCACCAAGGCUAUAGGCCACCCGUUUUUUGGCCAUUUUUCCGCUGGGGGGGUCUUGGGACCCCGACCUUCGGGGGCUGUUUUUUGGACGCGGCUGUGCCCGUGGCCUAUUUUUGGCACACGGAGGCCGCCCGCCAAGUCUGGUGCCAUUCCGAGUCCCGCGGACGAACUUCGCCCACGGCCCCCACCAAGGCUAUAGGCCACCCGUUUUUUGGCCAAUUUUCCGCUGGGGGGUCUUGGGACCCCGACCUUCGGGGGCUGUUUUUUGGGCGCGGCUGUGCCCGUGGCCUAUUUUUGGCACACGGAGGCCGCCCGCCAAGUCUGGUGCCAUUCCGAGUCCCGCGGACGAACUUCGCCCACGCCCCCCACCAAGGCUAUAGCCCACCCGUUUUUUGGUCAUUUUUCCGCUGGGGGGUCUUGGGACCCCGACCUUCGGGGGCUGUUUUUUGGGCGCGGCUGUGCCCGUGGCCUAUUUUUGGCACACGGAGGCCGCCCGCCAAGUCUGGUGCCAUUCCGAGUCCCGCGGACGAACUUCGCCCACGGCCCCCACCAAGGCUAUAGCCCACCCGUUUUUUGGCCAUUUUUCCGCUGGGGGGUCUUGGGACCCCGACCUUCGGGGGCUGUUUUUUGGGCGCGGCUGUGCCCGUGGCCUAUUUUUGGCACACGGAGGCCGCCCGCCAAGUCUGGUGCCAUUCCGAGUCCCGCGGACGAACUUCGCCCACGCCCCCCACCAAGGCUAUAGCCCACCCGUUUUUUGGUCAUUUUUCCGCUGGGGGUCUUGGGACCCCGACCUUCGGGGGCUGUUUUUUGGGCGCGGCUGUGCCCGUGGCCUAUUUUUGGCACACGGAGGCCGCCCGCCAAGUCUGGUGCCAUUCCGAGUCCCGCGGACGAACUUCGCCCACGCCCCCCACCAAGGCUAUAGCCCACCCGUUUUUUGGCCAUUUUUCCGCUGGGGGGUCUUGGGACCCCGACCUUCGGGGGCUGUUUUUUGGGCGCGGCUGUGCCCGUGGCCUAUUUUUGGCACACGGAGGCCGCCCGCCACGUCUGGUGCCAUUCCGAGUCCCGCGGACGAACUUCGCCCACGGCCCCGACCAAGGCUAUAGCCCACCCGUUUUUUGGCCAUUUUUCCGCUGGGGGGUCUUGGGACCCCGACCUUCGGGGGCUGUUUUUUGGGCGCGGCUGUGCCCGUGGCCUAUUUUUGGCACACGGAGGCCGCCCGCCAAGUCUGGUGCCAUUCCGAGUCCCGCGGACGAACUUCGCCCACGGCCCCCACCAAGGCUAUAGCCCACCCGUUUUUUGGCCAUUUUUCCGCUGGGGGGUCUUGGGACCCCGACCUUCGGGGGCUGGUUUUUGGGCGCGGCUGUGCCCGUGGCCUAUUUUUGGCACACGGAGGCUGCCCGCCAAGUCUGGUGCCAUUCCGAGUCCCGCGGACGAACCUCGCCCACGCCCCCCACCAAGGCUAUAGCCCACCCGUUUUUUGGCCAUUUUUCCGCUGGGGGGUCUUGGGACCCCGACCUUCGGGGGCUGAUUUUUGGGCGCGGCUGUGCCCGUGGCCUAUUUUUGGCACACAGAGGCCGCCCGCCAAGUAUGGUGCCAUUCCGAGUCCCGCGGACGAACUUUGCCCACGCCCCCCACCAAGGCUAUAGCCCACCCGUUUUUUGGCCAUUUUUCCGCUGGGGGGUCUUGGGACCCCGACCUUCGGGGGCUGAUUUUUGGGCGCGGCUGUGCCCGUGGCCUAUUUUUGGCACACGGAGGCCGCCCGCCAAGUCAGGGGCCAUUCCGAGUCCCGCGGACGAAGUUCGCCCACGCCCCCCACCAAGGCUAUAGCCCACCCGUUUUUUGGCCAUUUUUCCACUGGGGGGUCUUGGGACCCCGACCUUCGGGGGCUGAUUUUUGUGCGCGGCUGUGCCCGUGGCCUAUUUUUGGCACACAGAGGCCGCCCGCCAAGUAUGGUGCCAUUCCGAGUCCCGCAGACGAACUUCGCCCACGCACCCCACCAAGGCUAUAGCCCACCCGUUUUUUGGCCAUUUUUCCGCUGGGGGGUCUUGGGACCCCGACCUUCGGGGGCUGAUUUUUGGGCGCGGCUGUGCCCGUGGCCUAUUUUUGGCACACAAAGGCCGCCCGCCAACUAUGGUGCCAUUCCGAGUCCCGCGGACGAACUUCGCCCACGCCCCUCACCAAGGCUAUAGCCCACCCGUUUUUUGGCCAUUUUUCCGCUGGGGGGUCUUGGGACCCCGACCUUCGGGGGCUGAUUUUUGGGCGCGGCUGUGCCCUUGGCCUAUUUUUGGCACACGGAGGCCGCCCGCCAAGUCAGGGGCCAUUCCGAGUCCCGCGGACGAAGUUCGCCCACGCCCCCCACCAAGGCUAUAGCCCACCCGUUUUUUGGCCAUUUUUCCACUGGGGCGGCUUGGGACCCCGACCUUCCGGGGCUGAUUAUUGUGCGCGGCUGUACCCGUGGCUAUUUUUGGCACACAGAGGCCGCCCGCCAAGUAUGGUGCCAUUCCGAGUCCCGCGGACGAACUUCGCCCACGCCCCCCAUCAAGGCUAUAGCCCACCCGUUUUUUGGCCAUUUUUCCGCUGGGGGGUCUUGGGACCCCGACCUUCGGGGGCUGAUUUUUGGACGCGGCUGUGCCCGUGGCCUAUUUUUGGCACACAGAGGCCGCCCGCCAAGUAUGGUGCCAUUCUAAGUCCCGCGGACGAACUUCGCCCACGCCGCCCACCAAGGCUAUAGCCCACCCGUUUUGUGGCCAUUUUUCCGCUGGGGGGUCUUGGGACCCCGACCUUCGGGGGCUGAUUUUUGGGCGCGGCUGUGCCCGUGGCCUAUUUUUGGCACACGGAGGCCGCCCGCCAAGUCAGGGGCCAUUCCGAGUCCCGCGGACGAAGUUCGCCCACGCCCCCCACCAAGGCUAUAGCCCACCCGUUUUUUGGCCAUUUUUCCACUGGGGGGUCUUGGGACCCCGACCUUCGGGGGCUGAUUUUUGGGCGCGGCUGUGCCCGUGGCCUAUUUUUGGCACACGGAGGCCGCCCGCCAAGUAUGGUGCCAUUCCGAGUCCCGCGGACGAACUUCGCCCACGCCCCCCACCAAGGCUAUAGCCCACCCGUUUUUUGGCCAUUUUUCCGCUGGGGGGUCUUGGGACCCCGACCUUCGGGGGCUGAUUUUUGGGCGCGGCUGUGCCCGUGGCCUAUUGUUGGCACACAGAGGCGGCCCGCCAAGUAUGGUGCCAUUCCGAGUCCCGCGGACGAAGUUCGCCCACGCCCCCCACCAAGGCUAUAGCCCACCCGUUUUUUGGCCAUUUUUCCGCUGGGGGGUCUUGGGACCCCGACCUUCGGGGGCUGAUUUUUGGGCGCGGCUGUGCCCGUGGCCUAUUUUUGGCACACGGAGGCCACCCGCCAGGUCUGAGGCCAUUCCGAGUCCCGCGGACGAACUUCGCCCACGCCCCCCACCAAGGCUAUAGCCCACCCUUUUUUUGGCCAUUUUUCCGCUGGGGGGUCUGGGGACCCCACCUUCGCGGCUGUGCCCGUGGCCUAUUUUUGGCACACAGAGGCCGCCCGCCAAGUAUGGUGCCAUUCCGAGUCCCGCGGACGAACUUCGCCCACGCCGCCCACCAAGGCUAUAGCCCACCUGUUUUUUGGCCAUUUUUCCGCUGGGGGGUCUUGGGACCCCGACCUUCGGGGGCUGAUUUUUGGGCGCGGCUGUGCCCGUGGCCUAUUUUUGGCACACGGAGGCCGCCCGCCAAGUCAGGGGCCAUUCCGAGUCCCGCGGACGAAGUUCGCCCACGCCCCCCACCAAGGCCAUAGCCCACCCGUUUUUUGGCCAUUUUUCCGCUGGGGGGUCUUGGGACCCCGACCUUCGGGGGCUGAUUUUUGGGCGCGGCUGUGCCCGGGGCCUAUUUUUGGCACACGGAGGCCGCCCGCCAAGUCAGGGGCCAUUCCGAGUCCCGCGGACGAAGUUAGCCCACGCCCCCCACCAAGGCUAUAGCCCACCCGUUUUUUGGCCAUUUUUCCGCUGGGGGGUCUUGGGACCCCGACCUUCGUGGGCUGAUUUUUGGGCGCGGCUGUGCCCGUGGCCUAUUUUUGGCACACAGAGGCCGCCCGCCAAGUAUGGUGCCAUUCCGAGUCCCGCGGACGAACUUC
rnacentral:lncRNA from 1 species